AUGCAGCGACGCCGCGUGAAGGAAGAAGUAUCUCGGUAUGUAAACUUCUAUCAGCAGGGAAGAAAAUGACGGUACCUGACUAAGAAGCCCCGGCUAACUACGUGCCAGCAGCCGCGGUAAUACGUAGGGGGCAAGCGUUAUCCGGAUUUACUGGGUGUAAAGGGAGCGUAGACGGAAGAGCAAGUCUGAUGUGAAAGGCUGGGGCUUAACCCCAGGACUGCAUUGGAAACUGUUUUUCUAGAGUGCCGGAGAGGUAAGCGGAAUUCCUAGUGUAGCGGUGAAAUGCGUAGAUAUUAGGAGGAACACCAGUGGCGAAGGCGGCUUACUGGACGGUAACUGACGUUGAGGCUCGAAAGCGUGGGGAGCAAACAGGAUUAGAUACCCUGGUAGUCCACGCCGUAAAC
rnacentral:rRNA from 1 species